rnacentral:tRNA from 1 species
GGGUUCAAAGUCCUCUAUCCCCA